rnacentral:rRNA from 1 species
GACGAACGUUGGCGGCGUGUCUAAGGCAUGCAAGUCGAGCGAAUCAUUAUUUGUAGCAAUACUUGUGAUGGUUAGCGGCAAACGGGUGCGUAACACAUUGGUAAUCUGCCUUCUAGUCGGGCAUAACUCACCGAAAGGUGAGCUAAUUCCACGAUACACUCCACAUGUUAGUAGUGUGAGAGGAAAGCGCAAAACGCGCUAGAAGAGGAGCCUAUGGCCUAUCAGCUUGUUGGUGAGGUAACGGCUCACCAAGGCUAUGACGGGUAGGGGNGUGAGAGCAUGACCCCCUCACUGGACGUGAGACACUGCCACGACACCUACGGGUGGCUGCAGUCGAGAAUUUUCCUU